rnacentral:lncRNA from 1 species
CGUUACCUAGGCGCCGUGUGCCCUGGGGUGAGCCACACCCACGGAACCCAGGUCACUGAAGCCCAAUCCCUGCAGGGCUUCAGAGGGAGUGGGAAGUGAGGCGCAGGGACCCUGCCUUGUACCCACAUCACUGGGCUCUGUGCUGACCACCAGACAGGAGGAGGUCCUAGUGCUCCACUCUGACUCUGAAGCACUGACUACAAGCACCUCUUGGGGGUCACGGCUGUUUCGCACACACAAAUCCACCAGAGGAGAGAUUGCAGGGCCAGCAUCCUGAGCCCCACCUGCAGGCCCUGGGCGCUUUCCUCCUGGCAGCUGUGCCCCCACCCGACCGGACCGCUCCCUGCAACCAGAGAGCCCUCACACCAGCAACACCCCCCAGCCUGCUCCCUCCUCGUGUGCGCGAAACUCAUGGCACUGGCUUGACGGCUUUCUCUGAAACCCUCUGAUUCCGCCUGGCCCAUCCACACUGUCCCUUCCCGGCCAGGGCUCAUCUCCUAUGCCUGGACCAAACAGCGUAGUCUCCAGUCUCCCUGAUCUCCCCACACGUGGCCCCACCCAUCCUCUGAAGCAGCCCCAGGAGGCAGCAGUGACUUCACACUUCUAGUGCCCGGCCCUCCCGGCCCUCCUCUCUGGGCUUGCUUGCCAGGGUCCUCCCAACCUGACUGCUGCCUCCCACCUCCUCUCCGCCCCUGGAGCUCUCCAGCCGCAGCCGCGGGGCCUGCUUGGGAUUCUCCUCUGCUGGCAUCAUCCCUGCCUGCCUCAGCCUUCCCAGGCCCAAUCCUGCCCGAUCUCACCUCUUCCCGCCCAGCCACCUGGUCGGGUCCCGACCAGCAUCUGCCUUCAAACCUGGAGUCCUUCCCUGAGUGCUUGCGGUGCACUGUGAGGAAGGAAAUCAAUGUAAAGGAUUAUGACCCACAUUUUUUAAAAAUAAAAAGAUUAAGGAGAACAGCA